GGGUUGUGAGGUUAAGCGACUAAGCGUACACGGUGGAUGCCCUGGCAGUCAGAGGCGAUGAAGGACGUGCUAAUCUGCGAUAAGCGUCGGUAAGGUGAUAUGAACCGUUAUAACCGGCGAUUUCCGAAUGGGGAAACCCAGUGUGUUUCGACACACUAUCAUUAACUGAAUCCAUAGGUUAAUGAGGCGAACCGGGGGAACUGAAACAUCUAAGUACCCCGAGGAAAAGAAAUCAACCGAGAUUCCCCCAGUAGCGGCGAGCGAACGGGGAGGAGCCCAGAGCCUGAAUCAGUGUGUGUGUUAGUGGAAGCGUCUGGAAAGGCGCGCGAUACAGGGUGACAGCCCCGUACACAAAAAUGCACAUGCUGUGAGCUCGAUGAGUAGGGCGGGACACGUGGUAUCCUGUCUGAAUAUGGGGGGACCAUCCUCCAAGGCUAAAUACUCCUGACUGACCGAUAGUGAACCAGUACCGUGAGGGAAAGGCGAAAAGAACCCCGGCGAGGGGAGUGAAAAAGAACCUGAAACCGUGUACGUACAAGCAGUGGGAGCCUCUUUAUGGGGUGACUGCGUACCUUUUGUAUAAUGGGUCAGCGACUUAUAUUCUGUAGCAAGGUUAACCGAAUAGGGGAGCCGAAGGGAAACCGAGUCUUAACUGGGCGUUAAGUUGCAGGGUAUAGACCCGAAACCCGGUGAUCUAGCCAUGGGCAGGUUGAAGGUUGGGUAACACUAACUGGAGGACCGAACCGACUAAUGUUGAAAAAUUAGCGGAUGACUUGUGGCUGGGGGUGAAAGGCCAAUCAAACCGGGAGAUAGCUGGUUCUCCCCGAAAGCUAUUUAGGUAGCGCCUCGUGAAUUCAUCUCCGGGGGUAGAGCACUGUUUCGGCAAGGGGGUCAUCCCGACUUACCAACCCGAUGCAAACUGCGAAUACCGGAGAAUGUUAUCACGGGAGACACACGGCGGGUGCUAACGUCCGUCGUGAAGAGGGAAACAACCCAGACCGCCAGCUAAGGUCCCAAAGUCAUGGUUAAGUGGGAAACGAUGUGGGAAGGCCCAGACAGCCAGGAUGUUGGCUUAGAAGCAGCCAUCAUUUAAAGAAAGCGUAAUAGCUCACUGGUCGAGUCGGCCUGCGCGGAAGAUGUAACGGGGCUAAACCAUGCACCGAAGCUGCGGCAGCGACACUAUGUGUUGUUGGGUAGGGGAGCGUUCUGUAAGCCUGCGAAGGUGUACUGUGAGGUAUGCUGGAGGUAUCAGAAGUGCGAAUGCUGACAUAAGUAACGAUAAAGCGGGUGAAAAGCCCGCUCGCCGGAAGACCAAGGGUUCCUGUCCAACGUUAAUCGGGGCAGGGUGAGUCGACCCCUAAGGCGAGGCCGAAAGGCGUAGUCGAUGGGAAACAGGUUAAUAUUCCUGUACUUGGUGUUACUGCGAAGGGGGGACGGAGAAGGCUAUGUUGGCCGGGCGACGGUUGUCCCGGUUUAAGCGUGUAGGCUGGUUUUCCAGGCAAAUCCGGAAAAUCAAGGCUGAGGCGUGAUGACGAGGCACUACGGUGCUGAAGCAACAAAUGCCCUGCUUCCAGGAAAAGCCUCUAAGCAUCAGGUAACAUCAAAUCGUACCCCAAACCGACACAGGUGGUCAGGUAGAGAAUACCAAGGCGCUUGAGAGAACUCGGGUGAAGGAACUAGGCAAAAUGGUGCCGUAACUUCGGGAGAAGGCACGCUGAUAUGUAGGUGAAGUCCCUCGCGGAUGGAGCUGAAAUCAGUCGAAGAUACCAGCUGGCUGCAACUGUUUAUUAAAAACACAGCACUGUGCAAACACGAAAGUGGACGUAUACGGUGUGACGCCUGCCCGGUGCCGGAAGGUUAAUUGAUGGGGUUAGCGGUAACGCGAAGCUCUUGAUCGAAGCCCCGGUAAACGGCGGCCGUAACUAUAACGGUCCUAAGGUAGCGAAAUUCCUUGUCGGGUAAGUUCCGACCUGCACGAAUGGCGUAAUGAUGGCCAGGCUGUCUCCACCCGAGACUCAGUGAAAUUGAACUCGCUGUGAAGAUGCAGUGUACCCGCGGCAAGACGGAAAGACCCCGUGAACCUUUACUAUAGCUUGACACUGAACAUUGAGCCUUGAUGUGUAGGAUAGGUGGGAGGCUUUGAAGUGUGGACGCCAGUCUGCAUGGAGCCGACCUUGAAAUACCACCCUUUAAUGUUUGAUGUUCUAACGUUGGCCCCUGAUCGGGGUUGCGGACAGUGUCUGGUGGGUAGUUUGACUGGGGCGGUCUCCUCCUAAAGAGUAACGGAGGAGCACGAAGGUUGGCUAAUCCUGGUCGGACAUCAGGAGGUUAGUGCAAUGGCAUAAGCCAGCUUGACUGCGAGCGUGACGGCGCGAGCAGGUGCGAAAGCAGGUCAUAGUGAUCCGGUGGUUCUGAAUGGAAGGGCCAUCGCUCAACGGAUAAAAGGUACUCCGGGGAUAACAGGCUGAUACCGCCCAAGAGUUCAUAUCGACGGCGGUGUUUGGCACCUCGAUGUCGGCUCAUCACAUCCUGGGGCUGAAGUAGGUCCCAAGGGUAUGGCUGUUCGCCAUUUAAAGUGGUACGCGAGCUGGGUUUAGAACGUCGUGAGACAGUUCGGUCCCUAUCUGCCGUGGGCGCUGGAGAACUGAGGGGGGCUGCUCCUAGUACGAGAGGACCGGAGUGGACGCAUCACUGGUGUUCGGGUUGUCAUGCCAAUGGCACUGCCCGGUAGCUAAAUGCGGAAGAGAUAAGUGCUGAAAGCAUCUAAGCACGAAACUUGCCCCGAGAUGAGUUCUCCCUGACUCCUUGAGAGUCCUGAAGGAACGUUGAAGACGACGACGUUGAUAGGCCGGGUGUGUAAGCGCAGCGAUGCGUUGAGCUAACCGGUACUAAUGAACCGUGAGGCUUAACCUUACAACGCCGAAG
rnacentral:rRNA from 1 species